AGCAGCCGCGGUAAUUCCAGCUCCAAUAGCGUAUAUUAAAGUUGUUGCAGUUAAAAAGCUCGUAGUUGAAUUUCGGGAUUGACACGUCGGUCGUGCCCUAAGGGGUAUGAACUGGCGUAGUCAAUUUCUCACCUUCUGGAGAACCGCGCUGUCCUUAAUUGGGUGACGCGGGGAACCAGGACCUUUACUUUGAAAAAUUAGAGUGUUUAAAGCAGGCAUUUUGCUUGAAUACAUUAGCAUGGAAUAAUAAAAUAGGACGGCAUGAUUCUAUUUUGUUGGUUUCUAGGAUCACCGUAAUGAUUAAUAGGGAUAGUUGGGGGCAUUAGUAUUCAAUUGUCAGAGGUGAAAUUCUUGGAUUUAUUGAAGACUAACUACUGCGAAAGCAUUUGCCAAGGAUGUUUUCAUUAAUACAAGAACGAAAGUUAGGGGAUCGAAGACGAUCAGAUACCG
rnacentral:rRNA from 1 species